rnacentral:rRNA from 1 species
AGUCGAACGAUGAUCCCAGCUUGCUGGGGGAUUAGUGGCGAACGGGUGAGUAACACGUGAGUAACCUGCCCUUGACUCUGGGAUAAGCCUGGGAAACUGGGUCUAAUACCGGAUAUGACUGUCUGACGCAUGUCAGGUGGUGGAAAGCUUUUGUGGUUUUGGAUGGACUCGCGGCCUAUCAGCUUGUUGGUGGGGUAAUGGCCUACCAAGGCGACGACGGGUAGCCGGCCUGAGAGGGUGACCGGCCACACUGGGACUGAGACACGGCCCAGACUCCUACGGGAGGCAGCAGUGGGGAAUAUUGCACAAUGGGCGCAAGCCUGAUGCAGCGACGCCGCGUGAGGGAUGACGGCCUUCGGGUUGUAAACCUCUUUCAGUAGGGAAGAAGCGAAAGUGACGGUACCUGCAGAAGAAGCGCCGGCUAACUACGUGCCAGCAGCCGCGGUAAUACGUAGGGCGCAAGCGUUAUCCGGAAUUAUUGGGCGUAAAGAGCUCGUAGGCGGUUUGUCGCGUCUGCUGUGAAAGACCGGGGCUCAACUCCGGUUCUGCAGUGGGUACGGGCAGACUAGAGUGCAGUAGGGGAGACUGGAAUUCCUGGUGUAGCGGUGAAAUGCGCAGAUAUCAGGAGGAACACCGAUGGCGAAGGCAGGUCUCUGGGCUGUAACUGACGCUGAGGAGCGAAAGCAUGGGGAGCGAACAGGAUUAGAUACCCUGGUAGUCCAUGCCGUAAACGUUGGGCACUAGGUGUGGGGGACAUUCCACGUUUUCCGCGCCGUAGCUAACGCAUUAAGUGCCCCGCCUGGGGAGUACGG